ACAUUUAAUGUCACGUUUGACAUGUGUAAUCAUAGACUUGACAUGUAAAGAACAUUCACAUAACAAUGCGUCGCAAAACGAUAUUUGAUUUCGCAAAUUGUAUUAGCUUUAUGUGACUGAUAUGGUGAUAGGUAAUUUGAUGAAAUAAUCUUUUUUCCCAAGAAACUAAUAGUAAACAAUGAAAAUCAUUGAAAUGAGCUAUUGCGAUAAAUGCCCAAUGGCGAAGGAUUACGGUGUGCAUAAAGGAAGUGCUGAUAAACUUAAUAGUCAUUGUUCAAGCCUGAAUCCAUUCAGGACGCGAAAGCAUUCCCUCCAACUCGGGAGUUCCAAUCAGGGGUUUCAUUUCAAUAAUAAAAUAAUAUAAUACGAGAUGCCGAUGUAAUCGCAGAUGAGUUGAAUAUUAAAAUGUACCUUCGAUCCACUGACCAAUUCCCUCGUGAAAACUCAAUAAGCUAUUUUUUGUCGUGAAAUGAAAUGCUCUUUUGUAAAUAAAACGCCAUCUAAAGUGUUA